rnacentral:rRNA from 1 species
UACGGGGGGGGCAAGCGUUGUUCGGAAUUACUGGGCGUAAAGGGCUUGUAGGUGGCCAACUAAGUCAGACGUGAAAUCCCCAGGCUUAACCUGGGAACUGCGUCUGAUACUGGCUGGCUUGAAUUCGGGAGAGGGAUGCAGAAUUCCAGGUGUAGCGGUGAAAUGCGUAGAUAUCUGGAGGAAUACCGGUGGCGAAGGCGGCAUCCUGGACCGAGAUUGACACUGAAAAGCGAAAGCUAGGGGAGCAAACGGG